UACGAAGGUGGCAAGCGUUGUUCGGAAUUACUGGGCGUAAAGGGCGCGUAGGCGGCCUUCUAAGUCAGACGUGAAAUCCCCCGGCUUAACCUGGGAACUGCGUCUGAUACUGGAGGGCUUGAGUGCGGGAGAGGGAUGUGGAAUUCCAGGUGUAGCGGUGAAAUGCGUAGAUAUCUGGAGGAACACCGGUGGCGAAGGCGGCAUCCUGGACCGACACUGACGCUGAGGCGCGAAAGCUAGGGUAGCAAACGGG
rnacentral:rRNA from 1 species